rnacentral:rRNA from 1 species
AGACGUAGGGCCCGAGCGUUACCCGGAUUCACUGGGCGUAAAGUGCGCGUAGGCGGCUGGGUGUGUCGUCGGUGAAAGCCCCCGGCUCAACCGGGGAACGUCCGGCGAAACUGCCAGCUCGAGGGCGGGAGAGGCCGGUGGAGCUACCGGAGUAGCGGUGAAAUGCGCAGAUACCGGUAGAAACCUCGGUGGCGAAGGCGGCCGGCUGGCCCGUUCCUGACGCUGAGGCGCGAAAGCGUGGGGAGCGAACCGGAUUAGAAACCCUAGUAGUCC